rnacentral:rRNA from 1 species
UACAGAGGUCCCAAGCGUUGUUCGGAUUCAUUGGGCGUAAAGGGUGCGUAGGCGGCGCGGUAAGUCGGGUGUGAAAUCUCGGAGCUUAACUCCGAAACUGCAUUCGAUACUGCCGUGCUUGAGGACUGGAGAGGAGACUGGAAUUUACGGUGUAGCGGUGAAAUGCGUAGAUAUCGUAAGGAAGACCAGUGGCGAAGGCGGGUCUCGUGGACAGUUCCUGACGCUGAGGCACGAAGGCCGGGGAGCAAACGGG